UAUUAACACACGAGGACCUCAAGUUA
rnacentral:piRNA from 1 species